CAGUCGCCACGGUAAUACGAAGGGGGCUAGCGUUGCUCGGAAUCACUGGGCGUAAAGGGUGCGUAGGCGGGUCUUUAAGUCAGUGGUGAAAUCCUAGAGCUCAACUCCAGAACCGCCUUUGAUACUGAAGAUCUUGAGUAUGGGAGAGGUGAGUGGAACUGCGAGUGUAGAGGUGAAAUUCGUAGAUAUUCGCAAGAACACCAGUGGCGAAGGCGGCUCACUGGCCCAUAACUGACGCUGAGGCACGAAAGCGUGGGGAGCAAACAGGAUUAGAUACCCGUGUAGUCCCUGUCUCUUAUAA
rnacentral:rRNA from 1 species